rnacentral:rRNA from 1 species
AGUGAACGCUGGCGGUAGGCCUAACACAUGCAAGUCGAACGGCAGCACAGUAAGAGCUUGCUCUUACGGGUGGCGAGUGGCGGACGGGUGAGGAAUACAUCGGAAUCUACUUUUUCGUGGGGGAUAACGUAGGGAAACUUACGCUAAUACCGCAUACGACCUACGGGUGAAAGCAGGGGAUCUUCGGACCUUGCGCGAUUGAAUGAGCCGAUGUCGGAUUAGCUAGUUGGCGGGGUAAAGGCCCACCAAGGCGACGAUCCGUAGCUGGUCUGAGAGGAUGAUGAGCCACACGGGGAGUGAGAAAGGGACAUGACGACUACGGGAGGCAGCAAUGGGGAAUAUUGGACAAUGGGCUCAGGCUUGAUCACGCUAUACCGCGUGGGUGAAAAAGGCCGUAGUGUUGCACAGCCCUUUUGUUGGGAAAGAAAAGAAGAAGGUGAAUAACCCGCUGGUCAGACGGUAAGCAAAGAAUAAGAACCGGCUAAAUUAGUG